rnacentral:lncRNA from 1 species
CGGCGAACUCGGGAGGGAGGCAGGCUGGACCACUCCACGCCGCGCCGCCUGUGGCUCGGAACGCCGCACGGAAGAACUGCAAGAUGGCUACUCCACCUCCAGGCAUCAAGGCUGGAUGUCAGGUAGGAAGAAAGGGCAAAAGGCACCAAACAGCCCUUUGCCAGGAGAACAGCAGCUUUCUAGGAAGUCACAAACAGCUGACUUCUGCUUACAUGGCGCUCUGGCUGCAGGAGGUCUGACAGGAUGCCGCCACAGCAUGGCUUGAUAAGUGGUGCUCAGGUUCACGCCUGGAAUCCAAACCGGUGAACCCUGGGCCACCGAAGCAGAGCCUGUGAACCUAACUGCUACACCACUGGGCCAGCCCCCAUGAUGUCUUUUAAGCCUCAAACAGUCCUGUGAGGCUUCCCCACUUUAUAGACAAGGAAACUGAAGCUCCUACACUGGGGCAGACAUUCUGCAAGUGCAUGAGAGAUGCAAAGGGGAGAAAACCCAGUCUUUGGAGGAAGCUGGAAUAGGCCAGCUUGGAGAGCUUUCCACCACGAUGCCUUGGGACACGUCUGAGGGCCUCUCCUGAUGCUCCUGACAGCACAUAAUUCUGGGAGGGCAGCGGCAAGCCCUGAGCCAGGAAAUGUUGAUAUUUUUGCUCACGUGGGUACAAUGGGACUGGAGCAGGAGGACUUAGAGCCACUGAACCUUCUGGCUUCCCACAGGGGAUCAAUGUAUACAAAGUAUCUUUGCUGCCACCAAAGAUAAAUAUCUUACUACCAUGCCUGUUAGCGACAACAUUGAAUGGUGCUGUGGUUAAAACAGAAUACAACUUGCUGGGAGGAAAGAGAGAAGAGGAAUAGCAUAAUGUCAAGCCUGCCCCAAAGAAAAAUGACACACUUGCUGGAUUGUGUGAGCACUUUAACAGGAGUAUAUAAGGGAAUGCCGCCAGGGCAGCCAGUUUAUUUCUAUACAAACAGUGACAUGAUGCUGAAGGAUGACCGAGAGAAGAAUGCAGUAACUGUGGAUGCAAUAAAACCCUAGAGCUGCAGCCAAAAAUCUUAGUAUUUGAAACAAGUAAGGAACAGUUGAGAAGUGCUGAACGAGAAUUGCAGUCCUGGCUUCAUCAGUAACUUGCUUUGGGAACUUAGACUUUAACUUGCUCACAGCCUCAGCUGGCUCAUCUGCAGAUUGGGGCAAAAACAUCUGCUCAAUUUACCUAAAAGGAAUGUCGUGAGAAUAAAACGAAAUAGAUGCAAAAAUGCUUUGUCAAUGUUGGAAGUUCUAUACAAAUGGAAGCUAUUCGGGAUACUCCCACUCUCCAAGUUCGAGUCUGAAAAAACCCCACUCAAUCCAUUAGAGCAGCAUGGUUCAAUACAG